CUGAGCGUGCCCGAGAGCCGAGGACAGAGGCGGCUUAGUGCACAGACCACUGAACCUCAUCAGCUAACAAAGAUGACCGUUACAUAAGCUGUUACUUAAAAACACUAUUAUUGUGCUGGAGAGCUUAAUGCGGUUCUUUAGAGAGAGGGGAAAAAACUGAGGCUGCACUGUGGCGAAGCCUUGCCGCCUGCCAGCUCUCCCUUCUGAAAAGCGGAGAGACCCGAGCAGGGCAGCGCGGAAACAAUGAGCCGCGAGGGAGGAAUUUCCUCACGGAUGCGUGAGCUUUAGCAUAAUGAGCGGGGAUGAAAAACACAGCAGCAGCAGCAGCUUCCCCUCAGUUCCCGUUUCCAAAAGUGGGAAACCCAACCGUCUCCACAAACAGUAACAAAGAACAUUUUAUCAUACUCUGCUUUUGGGGAGGAACAGCCACAAAAAGAUUGCGUAAGGCACUGCACAUUUUCACCACUGAUUGCAUAAAUGACUUCUGAAUAGGAAGGUCUGCCCCGCACACCCAAGCUGUGCAAACGGGCACAUAAACCGUCCCCACAGCGAUUCUGCUGAAUUCUGGUGAACCUGGUCUCACCCACCAACGUGCGACAGCUCUGGUACCUGAACAGCAGGUUGGCAGGUGACUGCCGGACGCUGCAGACAGGUCAGGUGGGACCCGGUGACCAGAGCGUUUGAUCUACGGAGAGGCUGGGAGCACUAAGCAGCUACAGCAUGGGUAAAUCCAAGUUACUGUUCCACAUCCAAGUUCUCCAAUUCCUGUUUGACAGCUUCAGGUUACCCAAGAGGCAGCCUCAAAAUCUUUUGGAGGAACAACUGCAUGAUGACCUUUGAUGUACGGAGAAUUUUUUUUCCCCAUAUUUAAUGUUGACUGGUUCAGUUCCUUUAGAGUACAGUUUAUGAACAUAGAAAAGGUUAAGUAAGAUUAGCCCUUGCAGACUGUUUCAUUUCUAAUUAGUAUCAAAUAUAGGAAGUUGUUCAGGUGAAAAAGAAGUGAAAGCUUUAGACUGGGGACAUAAUCUCUCCCCCUUGAUUUGAGACCAAGGGAAAGAGAUGAGUGUGUCCUGCGCAGUAUCUUGAAGGCUUUGUGAAACUGGUGAACAACAGUGCUAAAUAUACCACAGUUCCACAGAACACUGGCUGAAAGACCACCAGAGCUUAAAGCUCUUGUGGAUAUUCAAAAUAUGGUGCCUGCCCAGUAUCUUGUGCAGCUCCAUUUAAUGGAAAAAACACAUUCAGUAGAAGAAAUGUCAUGACUAAUUAAUUAAAGGUACCAGCAAUAUGA